rnacentral:rRNA from 1 species
GGUUGUCGUCAGCUCGUGUCGUGAGAUGUUGGGUUAAGUCCCGCAACGAGCGCAACCCUCGUUCUAUGUUGCCAGCACGUAAUGGUGGGAACUCAUGGGAUACUGCCGGGGUCAACUCGGAGGAAGGUGGGGAUGACGUCAAAUCAUCAUGCCCCUUAUGUCUUGGGCUUCACGCAUGCUACAAUGGCCGGUACAAAGGGCUGCAAUACCGUGAGGUGGAGCGAAUCCCAAAAAGCCGGUCCCAGUUCGGAUUGAGGUCUGCAACUCGACCUCAUGAAGUCGGAGUCGCUAGUAAUCGCAGAUCAGCAACGCUGCGGUGAAUACGUUCCCGGGUCUUGUACACACCGCCCGUCAAGUCAUGAAAGUCGGUAACACCUGAAGCCGGUGGCCUAACCCUUGUGGAGGGAGCUGUCGAAGGUGGGAUCGGUAAUUAGGACUAAGUCGUAACAAAGG